rnacentral:rRNA from 1 species
ACGUAGGGACCAAGCGUUGUUCGGAUUUACUGGGCGUAAAGGGCGCGUAGGCGGCAAUUCAAGUCAGCUGUGAAAUCUCCGGGCUUAACCCGGAAAGGUCAGCCGAUACUGCGGGGCUAGAGUGCAGAAGGGGCAACUGGAAUUCUCGGUGUAGCGGUGAAAUGCGUAGAUAUUGGGAGGAACACCAGUGGCGAAGGCGGCUCACUGGACCGGAACUGACGCUGAGGCGCGAAAGCGUGGGGAGCAAACGGGA